GCCCAGAGCAGCAGCAGAGAGCAGAUUCCCCUGGACCCAGCUGUGUCUCCAUGAAGAGUGAGUGGUCUAUGGGUAGACCUCCUAGCUUUAAAGAUGGACGCCCCUCCAGAGAGGAGAGCCCAGAGCAGCAGCAGAGAGCAGAUUCCCCUGGACCCAGCUGUGUCUCCAUGAAGAGUGAGUGGUCUAUGGGUAGACCUCCUAGCUUUAAAGAUGGACGCCCCUCCAGAGAGGAGAGCCCAGAGCAGCAGCAGAGAGCAGGUUCCCCUGGAUCCAGCUGUGUCUCCAUGAAGAGUGAGUGGUCUAUGGGUAGACCUCCUAGCUUUAAAGAUGGACGCCCCUCCAGAGAGGAGAGACCCCAGGAGAGGUCAAAGGUUACCAGUGCUCAGUCUGUA